UGCCAGUUGCUAAGCACACACAUGAAGGUCAGAGAACUUCUGAGAAUCAGGUCUCUCCACCUAUGUGAGUCCCAGGGGUUGAUUUCAGGUCAGCAGGCUUAGCCAAAAGCACCGCACUGAACCAUCUUGCUGGCCCCAGGCCAGAGUCGUGAUAUCCAGCCCCUUGUUAGUCUCAUCUUAUCUUUACUUUUCCUUGGCUAGUCUGUCUUGUGUGUGUGUGUGUGUGUGUUUUGUUUUGUUUUUGUUGUUUAGUGAUUUGAUUUUGUUUUGUUUUUUUGAGGCAAGGUUUCACACACACAAAAAAAAUUCAGGCCACUCUGGACAGCUUCCCCAACCCCACCUAGAAACCCUGUCUCUUGCUCAGUUCUUUGCUAUUUCUUGUCCCCCAGCAGAGGCGCCUCUCCCAGUAAAUCUCUCCUGUGAGACUUGUUGUGAUGUGACUUUGUGGGUAUUCCCAGGCGCCUGAUUGCCAGGAUCUUUUUCCCUCUCAGAGCUGCAAUACCUUCACUGGAGACCCUUUCCCCCUCAGAGCCUGCUGGAACACUUCAUCCCAGAAGUUAAGAGCUGUUUGCUUGCCACGGAAAUCAAAUAA
rnacentral:lncRNA from 1 species